rnacentral:rRNA from 1 species
AAAGCACUCUGAAGAGAGAGUCAAAAGACCGUGAAACCGCUCAGAGUAUAAGCCAAUGGAGCUUGGAAGGCUUCCGCAGUGUCGGCCAUCCAUGUCGGUGUGUCGUGAGGCAUGUAGCGCGGUUCGUUGGGCGGAGCAUUGAGUUUGCCGCUUAGCUUACGUGCGGGGAUACGGUUCGGGAGUUUCCUGACCUGAGGGCUCCUGGCCGUGUCCUUUGGAAUGAACGUUCAGAGCUACUGUGUCCUAAUGCGGUUACGCCCACCACGGCACGUUGUGAGGUCACCCACAGGCUCAAACUGCCGAUCGCGCAUCCAGGACGAUGGCAACGAUGCGUUGUUUACAGCUCGAUCUCUAGCGGAGCUGUGCGACACGCGUGUCUAGUCCUGGGUCGGGCGGCGACCGAGAUAAACCUGGUAUGAUCCUCUUGCGACGAGCUGCUUUCUGGCCAGACCGACGUCCAGGCGCUUCCACUGUGCCGGAAGUGUCUAUCCCAGGCGGUAUGACCAAUCUGCUUAAGCAUGGUCUCUCAGCCGGUCGUUGGUCUGAGUGGUGUUAAGUCCAGCACCGUCGGUCACGUCUCGAAACACGGGCCAAGGAGUAUAGCAUGUGUGCAAGUCUAAGGGUCUCACAAAACCCGAAGGCGAAGUGAAAGCAAGGCUGUGGCGGGGGAGCUUCGGCGAACCCGCCAGCCCGGUGGCACACGCACUCCGUGUGUGUGUUGCCAGGCUUAUGGCAGAGCUGAUCCUGUUUCUCAAUGCUUGGUGCAGGCGCAAGCUCCGGGCUCACGUACAACUCUGGUCACCUCGUGUGGCUGGGUUGUGAGCACGUGAGCAUGC